UUACCUUCGGGUAAUGAGGAUGGCGGACGGGUGAGUAACGCGUAAGGAACUUGCCUCUUGGACUGGGACAACUGUUGGAAACGACAGCUAAUACCGGAUAUUAUGAGAUUCUCGCAUGAGAAACUUAUGAAAGCUAUAUGCGCCAAGAGAGAGCCUUGCGUUCCAUUAGCUAGUUGGUGGGGUAACGGCCCACCAAGGCGACGAUGGAUAGCCGGCCUGAGAGGGUGAACGGCCACAAGGGGACUGAGACACGGCCCUUACUCCUACGGGAGGCAGCAGUGGGGAAUAUUGGACAAUGGGCCACAAGCCUGAUCCAGCAAUUCUGUGUGCACGAUGAAGGUCUUCGGAUUGUAAAGUGCUUUCAGUUGGGAAGAAGAAAGUGACGGUACCAACAGAAGAAGCGACGGCUAAAUACGUGCCAGCAGCCGCGGUAAUACGUAUGUCGCAAGCGUUAUCCGGAUUUAUUGGGCGUAAAGCGCGUCUAGGCGGAAAAAUAAGUCUGAUGUUAAAAUGCGGGGCUCAACUCCGUAUUGCGUUGGAAACUGUUUUUCUAGAGUACUGGAGAGGUGGGCGGAACUACAAGUGUAGAGGUGAAAUUCGUAGAUAUUUGUAGGAAUGCCGAUGGAGAAGUCAGCUCACUGGA
rnacentral:rRNA from 1 species